rnacentral:tRNA from 1 species
GGAGGGGUAGCGAAGUCUGGCUAAACGCGGCGGACUGUAAAUCCGCUCCCUUUGGGUUCACAGGUUCGAAUCCUGUCCCCUCCA